AUUGAACGCUGGCGGCAUGCUUUACACAUGCAAGUCGAACGGCAGCGCGGGCUUCGGCCUGGCGGCGAGUGGCGAACGGGUGAGUAAUGCAUCGGAACGUGCCCAGUAGUGGGGGAUAGCCCGGCGAAAGCCGGAUUAAUACCGCAUACGACCUGAGGGUGAAAGCGGGGGACCGAAAGGCCUCGCGCUAUUGGAGCGGCCGAUGCCGGAUUAGCUAGUUGGUGGGGUAAAGGCUUACCAAGGCGACGAUCCGUAGCUGGUCUGAGAGGACGACCAGCCACACUGGGACUGAGACACGGCCCAGACUCCUACGGGAGGCAGCAGUGGGGAAUUUUGGACAAUGGGGGCAACCCUGAUCCAGCCAUGCCGCGUGCGGGAAGAAGGCCUUCGGGUUGUAGACCGCUUUUGUUCGGGAAGAAAUCCUCUGGGCUAAUACCCCGGGGGGAUGACGGUACCGGAAGAAUAAGCACCGGCUAACUACGUG
rnacentral:rRNA from 1 species